CUCUUUGGAACACAAUUUCACUUCUAGCCCAAUCUGUGUCUCCUGAAUUGCAAUUCCUAAGACCCCAAUAAACACUUUGUCUUACUGCUUUACUGUCUGGUCUUUUGCCUCUUCUUGGUUGACAUUAAAUGGUGUCAGAAUAGAGUGGGGUACAACGCAACUUUCCCCUGCGUUCUGGCACUGCCAUGGAUUCAAGCAUGGUACCUGUAGGAUCCCUUUGUGUUCCAUCGUCUCCCCAACAGCCCAGGACCUCAUUGGACACAAUUGAAAACACUGGUUAUAUUACAAAAGCUUUGACUGGUAAUUUUGUGUCAUAUUUUCAAAUGUGACCAGGCUGCUUUGAGGAAUUGCAGUUUACUUUAAAGCCAACAGACUUGGAAAAAGACUGGCCGGGUACCAUAUCUACACUGUUCCCUUACAGGGUUCCUGACCUUGUGGUAAGUAAAAGUUGUCACUUUCUGACAGAAUAAGCUACCUCAGAUAUUUUGGGGACCUCAAGAAGAGAGAAAUUCACACAGGUAUUACAAGCCCAGUCUGAAGAUGAAUCCUUCGCUUAGUGUCCUAGCCUCAAGAGGCUUUUAAAAGUCUAUUCUGGGAUUUCUUAUUUAAAAGUUCCAGCAAGGCCAACUAAAAAAUAGCCUAUAUGGCCGAUCACUACUCUUACUGCAAACAAUCAGGCAAAGUAUACUAAGACUAAAAGUUAUUUUGCAAAUAAAUUGGUCCUCCUAUGUUUCAGCUUUGGUAGAAAUGGGAGACUAAAGAGAGAUACAUUAUUUUUCAGAAGAAAACUAUAGUACACGUUAUUAGAUUCUAGCCUUGUCCUUUGUUUGUGAGUUUUUAUUAUUUGAUUACAACAAUUUGGACUGAAUCCUGAAUUCUUUCCUAGCUACAAAUCUCCAAACUAACAUUUUCAUAUCUUUCCAUUUUUCUGACUUGGACUCAGUGAAAUUGCAGCUUGCUCCUGAGGCCCUGCAAGCUGAAGUUCACAUGUAAACAACCUUGUGAUACACAAACUACAGACCAGAAAAAUGUGACAGAUUGCCACUGCCUACUUCCACUUUAACUGAAGAUGGUUUGAGUCUAACAUCUAGCACUUCAACUGAUUGCCCCCCAAACUCUAAAGAAACUGGUUUAAAAAGUGUUCCAAACCGGUGAAACCCCGUCUCUACUAAAAAUACAAAAAAUUAGCCGGACGUGGUGGUGGGCGCCUGUAGUCCCAGCUACUCGGGAGGCUGAGGCAGGAGAAUGGCGUGAACCCGGGAGGCGGAGCUUGCAGUGAGCCGAGAUCGCGCCACUGCACUCCGGCCUGGGUGACAGAGCGAGACUCCGUCUCAAAAAAAAAAAAAAAAAAAAAAAAAAAAAAAAGUGUUCCAAACAUCUGGGAGGCUGAGGCGGGCGGAUCACGAGGUCAGGAGAUUUGAGACCAUCCUUGCUAAUCGCUGAAACCCCGUCCCUACUAAAAAUACAAAAAAUUAGCUGGGCGUGGCCGGGCGCAGUGGCUCACGCCUGUAAUCCCAGCACUUUGGGAGGCUGAGGCGGGAGGAUCACGAGGUCAGGAGAUCGAGACCGUUCUGGCUAACACGGUGAAACCCCGUCUCUACUAAAAAUGCAAAAAAUUAGCCGGGCGUGGUUGCAGGCGCCUGUAGUCCCAGCUACUAGGGAGGCUGAGGCGGGAGAAUGGCGUGAACCCGGGAGGCGGAGCUUGCAGUGAGCAGAGACCGCGCCACUGCACUCCAGCCUGGGCGACAGAGCGAGACUCCGUCUCAAAAAGAAAAAGAAAAAAAAAAAAGGGUUCCAAACAUUAACCUUUCUUCUUCUUCAGUUUGAGAGAGCCUGACUGCAACACCGUCUCCUGAAAUGAGACACAACUAUUUAAUUCACUGGCCUAUUCUCAGAAAUAGACCAGUUUAGUGGUAUCCUUUGCCACUCAGCUAUAAACUCAAUUUUUCUCUCCACAGCCACCAACUCAGCUUUUAGUGUGUAAAACGUCCAGGGAAGUUUCAGGAAAGAGAAUGUUGGGCUGCAGAACAUGAUUUUCCAAAAUAUGGCACUUUGGCAUGCUGAAUGCUUUUGAAAAUUGAAAGGCAUCAGAAAUAGGACGUUAGGCUAGCAAUUUUAUAAGUCCUCAGAAUCAAAGUCCAUCUAACCUUGUCUUGUUCCUCCCACUCCAUGGCCAAGGAGGUACUCUCUCUAGAAUUUCCUUCCAAGUAGCUAGAAUUACAGGUGUGCCCCACCAUGCCUUGUAAACUUCCCUUUUAUCCUAUCCCUGAAAUCUCACAAUCUAUUUCAGAAAAGAAAACUGAGUAAUGACCUACAGACAUGGUUAAUCAGUUAUACCCUUCUCCUGACAUACAGCUAAUCACCAUAGACUAAUGCAGACCUCCUUAUGAAACAGGCGUUUCUACCUCCAAGGGAAAAAGAUAACAAAUCUUUGGCUGACCAACUGAUGUUUAUCAGCAAUGCUUCCUCACAUCAAAUCUUUAUCAAAAUGAAGAAAUGUGAAAUGUGAUAUACAAAACAGUAUCACUUGGUUCAGAGCUCUAAAAUGGAGUCAAGAAGCCACUCUAUUACUACCUACACAACAUGAAACCCUGCAGGAAAAAAAAAAAGGAACAGGAACUUGCCUUGAACCUUUGAACUGGGCUAAACUACAAUGACCACAUCUUAGAAAGCAGCUGAAUUUCACCAGCACUGCAACUCCUGCAUAGCAACAACCAAUGUACCAUGGACUUAUGUACUAAGCCAGCCACCUCCACCAAUGAUAAUUCUUUCAAAACAACUUGUGCAAUCACUCUCGGCAUCCUUUGAAAAAUUCCUACUCUCCUUCCUGUCUUUGGAAAACAAUUUGGCUCUUAGCCAAAUCCGUGUCUCCCAAAUUGCAACUUUUAAGGCCUCAAAUGCCUAGUCUUACUGCAUUGCACUCUGGUGUUUUGCCCCUUCUUACUUGACAUAUUAUACUUACAUCUCCAUUUCUAGUUGUGUUGAUUUUUUUAUUUUUUUAUUUUUAUUUUUAUUUUUGGAUAGUGUCUCACUCUGUCACCCAGGCUGGAGUACAGUGAUGCUGUCAGGGCUCACUGCAGUCUUGACCACCUGGGUUCAAGUGAUCCUCCCGCCUCAGCCUCCCAUGUAGCUGGGACUACAGGCAUGCACCACCAUGCCUGGCUAGUUUUCUUACUUUUGGUAGACACAUGGUUUCACCAUGUUGCCCAGGCUGGUCACAAACUUCUGGGUUCAAGUGAUCCACCUGCCUUGGCCUCCCGAAGUGCUUGUAUUACAGGUGUAAGCCACUGUGCCUGGCCUUGUAUCAACUUUUUGAUAGUAUCUCUUGACAGAAUGUAAAUGUGAGUAAUACAGACUCAGCAUGGUAGAGAAAUGAUAUAUGAAGGAGUGGUAUUACAGAGACAGGAUAGAUUAUUCGAUAAAUUCGGCUCUGGGACAAUUGGAUAUCAAACCAUAUGCCCUAUUCAAAAAUCAGUUGUUGGUGGAUCAAAAUUUUAUUUUAAAACUUUAUUUUUUAAAUAAAUUUUUGUUUUAUUUUAUCAUAUAUAUGUGUGUGUGUGUAUAUAUAUAAGCAUCUGCAUGGAAUUUUUCCCAUCUUUUUAAGUGUUUGAGGGUACACAGUAGAUAUAUAUAUAUUUAUGGGGUACAUAAAAUAUUUUCUACAGGCAUGCGAUGCAAA
rnacentral:lncRNA from 1 species